CAUGUAAGGGACAUCUCCAACCUGUACAGCAAACCCAGGACGAUUAAAGGGAAGAGGAGAGCCUAAAACUGCGGUUCCGGCGGGGAGGGAAAGUCAGGCUGGAGGUCCACCUGCAGAAUCCACGUAAUCAAACUGCUGCGGUCUCCUGUCUCUUCAGACUCCAGAAGUCACCAGAGGGAAGAGGCUGAGGCUGGCUUUGCAGCACUGGGAUUUCUGAGCUGAGAAGAAAGUGUUUUUCCGUUUGCAGUGACUCAGUGGAAACAAAGACUGAGUACCACGAGCGGAUAGCCCUUCUCUGCCAUUAUGAACUGUCCCUGAAGAAAGCACCCAUCAAAGUAACAAGCCCGGGGGCCUCUCGCCUCCUAGGUGAUCUCAAGUCCCAGGGUUUUAAGGACAUCUGUGCGCUGAUAGCUCCUGAAGUUACAUCUCCAGACCACGACCCCAGCAUGAGUUACGACCUGAAUCAGCACAUCAAGACCCUGACAGGUCCUGCACGAAAGAAACCCUUGACUCGGUGAAGCCAGCCUCGCUGAAUCCUUUAUGGCCCAGGAACACUUGGUCCCUUCAUCACGUCUCCCAAGACCGUGGCACCGUGGGAUACUCCUUGGGAGACACCCUCGACCUCUCCUGGUGGGGGAACCUAGCAUUUCCACCCUGUCCUUAUCACAAGCUGUUUCCUUCUCUAAAACCCCAGGCAUCUCCAUCACUCCCAGGGAUGGCCUGGGGCCGCCUCUCCCCCUCA